GCCCCUGUGGUCCAACGGAUACGACACCGGUUUCCGAAGCCGGCGAUCCAGGUUCGAUUCCUGGCGGGGGCA
rnacentral:tRNA from 1 species